rnacentral:rRNA from 1 species
AACGAACGCUGGCGGCAGGCUUAACACAUGCAAGUCGAGCGGGCGUAGCAAUACGUCAGCGGCAGACGGGUGAGUAACACGUGGGAACGUACCUUUUGGUCGGAACAACACAGGGAAACUUGUGCUAAUACCGGAUAAGCCCUUACGGGGAAAGAUUAUCGCCAAAAGAUCGGCCCGCGUCUGAUUAGCUUGUUGGGUGAGGUAACGGCUCACCAAGGCGACGAUCAGUAGCUGGUCNGAGAGGAUGAUCAGCCACACUGGGACUGAGACACGGCCCAGACUCCUACGGGAGGGCAGCAGUGGGGAAUAUUGGGACAAUGGGCGAAAGCCUGAUCCAGCCAUGCCGCGUGAGUG